GACAUCUGUUUUGGCCAUCAACAAUGCCAACUGCCUUUCCUGUUUCGGUGUCUGCUUUCUGUCACCUUUUGUGUGAGCUCUUACUGCUUGAUCUAGCAUGGCUUGGAUAGUAAUGUAAGUAUUUUGCUUAGUUAGUUGUGCUUAUACCCUGUAUGUUCUUUCUCCUCUUUGAAUUGCUGCCCGCGGAUUUGGCUUGCCACGUGAGCCUGGCUUGGUCUUCUCCCAUAUGAAUUCAAAAUAUUCCUCCUAAGGUCAGGCUCAGCACUUUGUUGCAUCUCCAAAAAUUUCUAUCUAAACAAAUCAACAAAUUCAAUAAGGAACAUUUUCCUCAAAGCCAAAUCCAAAAGUAUUAUAGAGUGCUGCAGCAUUUACUGAAAUUCUCAUGAGGUGACAGAAGAGCAUAGCACAGUACAAAACCUGUUAAAAUAUUCUCUAAUCAUCUGUCUUAUCUUCUGCUAGUCUCUCCUAUCGCCUCUUUCUUUCUCUACAAAGUAUAGCCCCACUCCCACCACAGGGUGGUGUCCCUCUGUGACUUGAGCACUGUAGUCCUUCCCCUCAGCUGCAGUGCUUCACUCCGCAAAACAAGAAACAACAACAUGGGACUUUUCUAGUACAUUCCUUGGGAAACUUGGUAUGUCCUGCUUGAAAGAAAAGCCCAAAUAAGACUGCCAAGAUCAUCCAGAGGAAAGGCCAUGUGACCACACACCAAGAAGCUAGCUGUCUGCCAGCCAGGAAGAGAGCCCUGACCAGUAAUCAAAUUGGCUGAAGACUUGAUCUUGGACUCCUUGUCUCCAGAAAUGGCUGCUGUAGUAUCCUAGGGGUCUACUCCAGUCCCUGGUUACCUCGAAUUUUCCAGUCCCUGGAUGUCUCACCAGUGAAGGUUGUGAAACAGCAAAAAUGGCAGCCUGCACCCUCCUCUGGGAGCUCCAUCCCAAGAAGAUGUUGGCACUUCUUAGGAAGGAGCCAUCCAUGUCUGAAGAGAAGAAAUGAUAAUUAACUUCAUCAUGUGGAAAGCUUUAGAAGGAAGUAUCUUGUCCUUCUGUCCAAACCCGCCUCCUCCUUACCACCCCCAAUAAAAAUAAAAGCCAAACAAAUAAAACAUUAGCAGUAGCUCUGAGUUUCUUCCUUUCACUUUUUCUCUCUCUUCAUGCCUUUUCUCCUCCAUUCCUUCCUUCUUUCAAAUCAUUUUUACUAGUUUAAGAGAAUAAUUCAAUCUAUAUUUAGAAAUCAGACUUAAAACUUCAAAAAUUAUACUGAAAUAGCUUCCCCUUAAAGGGUGAAACAGUCAUGAUAAAAAUAACAACCGAUAGAAUAAAAUAAUAUAAAAUUAGCUGAGUUUAUAGUUUCUUUUACACCUCCAUAAUUUAUGUGGAUUUGGAAAUACAGACAGUAUACUGAAAACUAAGAAGUUUUCUAUGAAUUAUGAGAAUUUGCAAUCCACAUAGGCUUAAGUCUAAUGUUAGAAGAUAAAACAAAUUGACCUUAAAUAACUUUCUGACAUAACCUCCCCAUUUCAUGGAUGAAAAACCCUAAAGCUCUCAUAAGUAAAGUGAUUUACUUCAGGACACAAACUAGUUGAUUUAGUUUGGAUGUUUGUCCCCUCCAAAUCUCAUGUUGAAAUGGAAUCCCCAGUGUUGGAGGUGGGGCCUGGUGGGAGGUGUUUGUGUCAUGGGGCAGAUCCAUUAUCCUUAUGAGCUGCUUGGUGCUAUCCUUGUGAUAGUGAGUGAGUUCUCAUGAAAUCUGGUUGUUUAAAAAUUUGUGGCACCUCCCCACCAGCCUUGCUCCUGCUCUUGCGGUGUGAUAUGCCUGCUGCCUCUUCACCUUACACCGUGAUUAUAAGCUUCCUGAGGCCUCACCAGAAGCAGUUCUUCUAUCAGGAUUUUAAGAGGGCAGGCAGAACUUUAAAGCAAAGGAAAUUGCUUGUUUUUGUGAAAUUAACCAGUCUGUUAUCAAGGCGGAGGACAAGAUACGAAUGCUAAUCAUUGUGAAGAAACUCAUUACGGAAUUUUCUCCAAUACAUAGGCAAAAGAAGUGGCUGUUAUCAUUUUGCACUAUAACCAGACAUAUAAUGCUGUUGCUCCACAUCCACGUCAGAGAUCCUUGAGGAAUCACCACACUGUCUUCCACAAUGGGUGGUACAUCCAGAAAACAGAAUAUUACUUAGUGCUAAAAAGAAAUGUGCUAUCAAGCCAUGAAAAUAUACAUGGAAAGCGCAACACGGCUGAAUAGAAACAGCUCCGUUCUGCAGCUCCCAGUUGAUCAAUGCAGAAGUUCGUAGGUCUUGAGAUCAAGAGCAACCCCAUGUGGAUCCAUGGUAGAUCACAAGAUCUGGAAGUUUGUGCCUAAUGUUGUUAUCAGAUGAGCCUUUUGGGGAUGUCCUGAAGGG
rnacentral:lncRNA from 1 species